CUCUCUUCCCCGAUCUAUUUCACUCUCUUAAGUCUCAACUAACUUCACUGCCAUGGCUUCUUCGACACCGCCGACGACUUCUAUGACGUCACUUGGUCUGAAUCUCACGACUCCCUACUCAUCGCCUCCAUCACCAACGACUCCGUCAAGCUCUAUGACCUCGCCUUCCCGCCGACCUCCAACCUCCUCCGCUUCCUCUUCAGUUCUACUCCUGCUUCAUGUAUGGUUCUCUCCACCCUCAAUAGCUAUUAGCACCUGUUCACAAAUUCCUAGCAAACCUUCUCUGAUUCAUUAUGGGGAGAAAGAAGAAGUUCAUCGACAAGAAAAAGGCUACUUUCCAAUUAAUCUCCCGAGAUUCCUCCGAUCCCAACGACGAUGACUCACUCGGCGACGACCGAGUCUUCAUCCAAGUCUUCGUCAACCCAACGACGAUCUUGAUUCGAUCUUGGCCGACGCGCCUGAGGACAAAGAAGCUGACAACUAUUACGACCACACUUUCAAAAACUCUGUGGCGGUGGCUUAGCCCCUGCCGGAGAAACAACUUUGAUAAUUUAGGUCCAUGUAAAAAGAAGAAUGACCAAGGAGGAGAAGCUGGCAUUAAUGAAAGCAGGGAGGGAGGAAAGAAGGAAGUACAUGGCUAGAGCUGCUAUAUAUAAAAAAGAAGAAUGUAUAUUUUACUGCAAUUCUUUGAAGUUAUCAUGUUUUAGAGUUCUACAAGCAUCGUCAUGGCUUUGAACUUUGCCAUUUGAGGGAGGCUCGAGCAAUAAGCAGAAGGAACACAAGUAUGCCACUUGCUGCAAAGAGGGCAAAGGUAGCUAAAUCUCGAAGUGGCAAAACGCAAAAAGCAGUAGCAUUCUAGCAAAAAUUUCUGAGGGAAGAAAGCAUGGAAAUGAUCCUGAAAAAUCCAAUUUUCUUUUUGUCAUACUUCUAUUUCAGUUCAAGUAAAUCUUACUUUUACUGUUUUUGGUUAGAAGUAAAUUUUACAUUUAAGAUGAAGACUUCGUUGCAACUUGAUCGUGA